rnacentral:rRNA from 1 species
UACGGAGGGUGCAAGCGUUGUCCGGAUUUAUUGGGUUUAAAGGGUACGUAGGUGGAUCCUUAAGUCCGUGGUGAAAGCCUGCAGCUUAACUGCAGAACUGCCAUGGAUACUGGGGAUCUUGAAUUCAGUUGAGGUUGGCGGAAUUUAUGGUGUAGCGGUGAAAUGCAUAGAUACCAUAAAGAACACCUAUUGCGAAGGCAGCUAACUGGACUUGAAUUGACACUGAGGUACGAAAGCGUGGGGAGCGAACAGG